rnacentral:lncRNA from 1 species
CCUUUUCUCUCUCAAUUUUUUUGAAUGAAUGCUAGAUAUGAGUUUGUUUUUUACUCUUCAAAAUGGAUCUGAGCACUAUCAAAAUGGACCUUUGCACAAGAAAAACACUAUAAAAGUGUAAACAAACCUCGAAAAUAUAGGUUAUCUCCAUUUUUUGCUCUUGUUCUUCAUAUUCUUUGAGUUCUUAUGGUUGUGUUUGAUCUGAGUUUUUCUAUCUCAAUUUCUUAGAAUGGAUGAUCGAUUUAGGUUUGUUUUGACGGAUUUUUACACGAAGAAACACAAAUUUCGAAAAGGUAGGUGCACUCUAUUUUAACCUCUUGUUCUUUGUGUUCUUCACGUUCUCGUGGAUUUAAUUAUUCUGAAUUUUUUAUUUUCUUCAUUAUGGUCUUUGUUAAUUUUUUCUAGGUUUUUUGUGUCUCAUACAAGCGUUUUGUUCAUGUCCCACCGGGACGAACACAUGUCGUAGCGAUACGUUUGUUUCAUUGCCUCAUAAGAAUGUUUUGUUCACGUCACCUAGAAGAAUGCAUGAUGUGGUAAUUCAUUUGUUUUCACUUGUCGAUACGGACGUUGUGUUCACGACCCAUUGGGACGAACGUAGGCGUUGGUGGUAUGUUUGUUUUCACUGUCUCAUACGAACGUAUAAAUAUUUGUGAGUUUGUUUAUAUAUAUCUUAUAGGUUAUUCGUGUUCUUCAUGUCUCUUGUAUUCUUGAUGAAUUCAGAAGAAAGUACUGGUAAAACACGAACAUAGAGAUAGUUCAUACUUUUAUAUUGUUAUAUAUGUUUACAGAUACGAACGUAUGAUUAUAUUGAUAAGUUCGUAUGUUUCGUCCAUACGAAUCUGCGAACUCAUUAAAACGUUCGUGUGUUUGAGUUCUUCAUCCCCUUUAUAUUUUUUAAGAAUUCCUACAUUUGUACCGAUAAAACUUACAAAUAUAAUGAGUUUAUAUCUAACAAGUUUUUAUGUUUCUUUCCAUGUUGCAGGAGUACCCAAUAAAGACGACGUGUUGCAUUUAGAGAAUUUUAAAUGGUUGUUUUGAUAAAUGUACAAGUUGUAUUUAUGAAUUUAUAACUUGAUGUACCCAUUUUGAUAACAUUUUAUUGUUUCAUCUUGUUAUAUUCAGAUAUGGAAUACG